UUCUUAUCUAUCUCAGUGCAUAUUUGUUAGUUAUUAUCAUAAACCAUAGAUAAUAGAAAGUAAAAGUAAUUAUUAUUUAAUAUCCAUCGUGACCGUUUCGAGAGAAGUCGCUCGUUGAUCGAUAGUGACACUUUCAACUUUGUAAAUCAGUUUAAAAUUAAUCCGACCUUCGCUUACCCUCUUAAACCCGUUUUAUCGAAUAUCGACGAUGCCGAAUAACCAGUUCAUGCACCCAAGAAAUAUAUAUCGUACACCUCCCGCUUUCAAAGAGUUGUCCAUUAAAUAUCCUGAGUUCAAUAAGUACGCGUCGACUGGUUUGAAUGGUAAAAUUGUUUUUGACUUUAAAAAUCAAGAAGGCCUAAGAUUGUUGACCACUAUUUUAUUGAAGAAAGACUUUGAUUUAGACGUUGAUUUACCAGUCGGUAGAUUAGUACCUACCAUUCCAUUACGGUUAAACUAUUUAUUGUGGAUUGAGGAUCUAUUCAACUUGAACUACGACAAUACGAAAAAGAUCAAAGGAAUCGAUAUAGGUACAGGUUCAUCAUGUAUUUAUCCAUUAUUAGCAGCUAAAAAAUUUCAUUGGUCUAUGGUUGGUACUGAUAUCAAUAAAGAAGCUAUUAAAAAUGCUAUUAAAAACGUGGAAAAGAAUAAUUUACAAAAUUUAAUUCAAGUUCUUGAAGUAUCAGAAUGGGAAAGAUUAUUGCCAGUAGCAGUAGAUGAACAUUAUGACUUCUGUAUGUGUAACCCACCCUUUCAUAGUUAUUCAAAUUUAAAUUCAUCAGAUGAUGAAGCAAAUAAUUCAAUAGGGAUUACUUCUGAAAUGUAUACAAUAGGAGGAGAAGUUGAUUUUGUAAAAAAAAUGAUCAAGGAAAGUGAAAUAUUACAAAAUUCGAUAAGUAUUUAUACAACAAUGGUUGGUUAUAAAGCUUCAUUAGACCCUCUAAAAAAUGAACUGAAAGCUAUUGGAGCAUGUUCAGUUGCAGAAGCUGGUUUCUAUCAAGGUCGGAAUGCUCGUUGGGGAAUUGCUUGGACAUUUCAGUCUGAUAUUAAAUUAAAGGAUUUUUUGCCUAAUAAAGAGUUUCAAAAAGAGAAAUUAAAACUUAGACCUCCAGUGUCUUUUAAAAUUCCAGAAACGUAUGACUCUAUAACUGCACUAACUAAACUAUCAGAACUUUUAACUAGUCUUAAGUUGUCCGCAGCGAUAUUAAAAUCAAAAAGUGAUGAAAAUGUCUUAUACCAAGCUGACAUUCAAGCAUAUGAAAAUACAUGGACUCAUCAAAGACGAAAGAGACGUAUGGAAAAAAGAUUAGCUGACAGCAAACGUCAAAAAACAAAUGAUAAUUGUUUACACAUUGAAUCUGAUGAAGAAAAAGUUGAUCAGCAUUUAGAGACAACAGUGAAUGCCAAACGAUUAUUUUCAGCUACUCUAGUUCUAAGAAAAACAGACAAUUCAAUUUUUCUAGACAUGUUACACCUGGAUGGCAAUAGAAACAAUUCAUACCAAGUUUUUCAAUUCUUUAAGAAUAGAUUUAUAUAAUGGUUUCGUGUGACACAAAUUUAGGAAAACCAAAUCCAAGGCUAUCUGGCUGUGUGCUUGGUCGUUGAAAAUUCUCCCAUGAUGGAUCAGGCACAAAACUCUCAACUAUGUUGCAUGGCUAUGAAAUGACAAAGAUCCGUUGCCGUUCAAAAACACCGAUGCUUGCAACUUAUACCCAAAUUGGCUGGUGUAGAACGGCGAACUGAUGAGUUCUAGACCAUCACCACAUAAUUUGUGUCGACCCUCUUCAAGUUUUUCCAGUACAUCGCUGAUUUUCCAAAUCAGCGUACCUUUAAUGACCAUUGAACACAUUAAUGUUAAAUGUUGUUGGCUUGCUUCUUCCAUGUGUGUGUCCAUUUGCUUUCCUCUUAAACUCUGCAAUUGAAAAUAUGAAAGUUAAUUAAAACUUUAAAAGGUAAUACUUAGUUAAUACUUUUGACAUUUUACCUUGAAUCGGCAACCAACUUCUUUGAAGCUACAAGAUAUUAACAUUGAGUGACAUGCAUGUUUAAUAUGAUGUUCUAAAUCUUCACGUGCUACAGUGACAAUUUCACAUCUAUUGGGACAAGUUAGAGGGAAACGUGGGCAUGAUGUUGUAUGUGAGUUAAUAGUGUCAGCUACAAAUUGCCGUCCACAAUGGCGACAUGGUACUAAUCUUUUUGAACAUUCAGUGACCUGAAUAAAAUUUUUAUAUUUAUAGUUAA